rnacentral:misc_RNA from 1 species
GAGAAGAACGCAGCGAAACGCGAUAAGUAAUGUGAAUUGCGGAAUCCAGUGAAUCAUCGAAUCUUUGAACGCACAUUGCGCCCGCCAGCAUUCUGGCGGGCAUGCCUGUUCGAGCGUCAUUUCAACCCUCGACCUCCCCUUGGGGAGGUCGGCGUUGGGGACCGGCAGCACACCGCCGGCCCUGAAAUGGAGUGGCGGCCCGUCCGCGGCGACCUCUGCGCAGUAAUACAGCUCGCACCGGGACCCCGACGCGGCCACGCCGUAAAACACCCAACUUCUGAACGUUGACCUCGAAUCAGGUAGGACUACCCGCUGAACUUAAGCAUAUCAAUAGCGGAGGA